GGGAAAGGCAGCACAAAAGAAAGGGAUGAACCCCCGUCCCCCUCCCCUGAAGGAGCCCCAAACAGAGCUGCGCCCAGAGGGAGGCAUGCAGAGGCGCUUUCAGAGGAAGUUCUUGCUGCUGCAGCGGGACAGAAGCAGCUGGGAUGGCUGACCAUCCUGAUAGGCCUUGGAGGAAGGGAAGUAUCACCGGCCUGAACUACUACUCCCCAUCCCCUGCAACUGCCAUUCUUUCUGACUUGUCUCUAGAAAAGGCCAUGUGACCUCUCCCUCAGGCUGACGCAUUGUCCCAGCCAGAAUGUCCAGCCAAAGCAGAAUAAAGCAUCUACUGGACCUAAAAG
rnacentral:lncRNA from 1 species